UACGGGGGGGGGCAAGCGUUGUUCGGAAUUACUGGGCGUAAAGCGAGUGUAGGCGGUUCGAUAAGUCGGAUGUGAAAGCCCCCGGGCUCAACCCGGGAAGUGCACUCGAUACUGGUCGAGCUAGAGUAUCGGGAGAGGUUGGUGGAAUUCUCGGUGAUAGAGGUGAAAUUCGUAGAUAUCGAGAGGAACACCGGUGGCGGAAAGGCG
rnacentral:rRNA from 1 species